GACGAACGCUGGCGGCGUGCUUAACACAUGCAAGUCGAGCGGUAAGGCCCUUUCGGGGGUACACGAGCGGCGAACGGGUGAGUAACACGUGGGUGACCUGCCCUCAGCUCUGGGAUAAGCCUGGGAAACCGGGUCUAAUACUGGAUAUGACUCCAUGACGCAUGUUGUGGGGUGGAAAGCCUUGUGCGGCUGAGGAUGGGCCCGCGGCCUAUCAGCUUGUUGGUGGGGUGANGGCCUACCAAGGCGACGACGGGUAGCCGGCCUGAGAGGGCGACCGGCCACACUGGGACUGAGACACGGCCCAGGCUCCUACGGGAGGCAGCAGUGGGGAAUCUUGCGCAAUGGGCGAAAGCCUGACGCAGCGACGCCGCGUGGGGAUGAAGGUCUUCGGAUUGUAAACCCCUUUCGGGAGGGAAGAUGGAACGAGCAAUCGUUCGGACGGUACCUCCAGAAGCAGCCACGGCUAACUUCGUGCCAGCAGCCG
rnacentral:rRNA from 1 species